CUUCGGCAGCACAAAAUUGGAGCUAUAGUAAAAUUGGACUGAUACAGACAAGAUUAGCAUGGCCCCUGUGCAAGGUUGACAUGCAAAUUCAUGAAGCAUUCCGUAUUUUU
rfam:Otolemur garnettii contig003726, whole genome shotgun sequence.